rnacentral:rRNA from 1 species
GACGAACGCUGGCGGCGUGCCUAAUACAUGCAAGUUGAGCGCUGAAGGUUGGUACUUGUACCAACUGGAUGAGCAGCGCACGGGUGAGUCACGCGUGGGGCCUCCGCCUUUGAGCGGGGGACAACAUUUGGAAACGAAUGCUAAUACCGCAUAAAAACUUUAAACACAAGUUUUAAGUUUGAAAGAUGCAAUUGCAUCACUCAAAGAUGAUCCCGCGUUGUAUUAGCUAGUUGGUGAGGUAAAGGCUCACCAAGGCGAUGAUACAUAGCCGACCUGAGAGGGUGGGCGGCCACAUUGGGACGGUGACACGGCACAAACUCCUACGGGAGGCAGCAGUAGGGAAUCGGCGGCAAUGGACGAAAGUCUGUCCGAGAAACGCCGCGGGAGGGAAGAGGGUUUUCGGAUCGUAAAACUCGGUUGGUAGAGAAGAACGUGGGUGAGAGUGGAAAGCUCAUCAAGUGACGGUAACUACCCAGAAAGCGACGGCUAACUACGUG